rnacentral:rRNA from 1 species
AGCAGCCGCGGUAAUUCCAGCUCCAAUAGCGUAUAUUAAAGUUGUUGCAGUUAAAAAGCUCGCAGUUGAAUUUUAAGCCUGGCCAGGCGGUCCGUCUUUGGCGAGUACUGUCUUGUUGUCGGGUCUUCCUUCUGGUGAACCAGUAUGCCCUUUAUUGGGUGUGUUGGGGAGCCAGGACCAUUACCUUGAAAAAAUUAGAGUGUUUAAAGCGGGCUAUUGCUUGAAUAGAUUAGCAUGGAAUAAUAGAAUAGGACGUUGUGGUUCUAUUUUGUUGGUUUCUAGGACCACCGUAAUGAUUAAUAGGGAUAGUUGGGGGCAUUAGUAUUCAAUUGUCAGAGGUGAAAUUCUUGGAUUUAUUGAAGACUAACUAUUGCGAAAGCAUUGCCAAGGAUGUUUCAUUAAUCAGAACGAAAGUUAGGGGAUCGAAGACGAUCAGAUACCGUCGUAGUCUUAACCAUAAACUAUGCCGACUAGGAAUCGGGCGACGUUAUUUUCAUGACUCGCUCGGCGCCUUAUGGGA